CCUACGUGUGGCAGCAGUGAGGCAUAUUGGUCAAUGGCCGUAAGGCUGAACCAGCCAAGUAGCGUGAGGGAAGACUGCCCUAUGGGUUGUAAACCUCUUUUAUAAAGGAAUAAAGUGAGGCACGUGUGCCUUUUUGUAUGUACUUUAUGAAUAAGGCUCGGCUAACUCCGUGCCAGCAGCCGCGGUAAUCCGGAGGAUCCGAGCGUUAUCCGGAUUUAUUGGGUUUAAAGGGAGCGUAGGGGGACUGUUAAGUCAUCGGUAAAAGCCCGGGGCUCAACCCCGGCGAGCCGUUGAAACUGGCUUGCUUGAGAUGGCGAGAGGUAUGCGGAAUGCGCAGUGUAGCGGUGAAAUGCUUAGAUAUUGCGCAGAACUCCGAUUGCGAAGGCAGCAUACCGGCGGCGAUCUGACGCUGAGGCACGAAAGCGUGGGUAUCGAACAGGAUUAGAUACCCGAGUAGUC
rnacentral:rRNA from 1 species